AAGAAAAAUGUCUGGGUUGAUAUAAAAAUAGAAGAUAUUCCUUUAGUAGGGGACACUUAUAUUGACUAUCACAGUUCCCAAUCUUCAACAAUUAAGGAAUGACAUUCAAUAUUCAAAGCACUGAAGAUGACUAGUGAGAGGAAUGAAACAGGCUCUCUACCCUCACACGUGAAAGUCUGAAAAGACAAUGGGUCAGCCCUAAUGAAUGUGGGAAGAGGUAAUUAGGCACUUCUAAUUGAUUACAUGUACCAAACUUUACAAUUUUGUAAGUUAUAAUUUAUUCUAUAAAAUGAUCUUGUUUCCAGUAUUUCAUUUUACACUCACAACAACAGCUCCAUGAAGUAAGAGGGCUAGGUAUGAGUGUUCUAAUUUUACAGACAGAAACUCAAUUAAAGAGAUUCAUUGACUGGCCUACAGAUGUUCCAGUGCCAUUGAUGAUAUGCCAUUCUGAGUUAGGUGAUAGUUAGGUAAUCUGGGACUCUCUAAAUUACUCUUCCUCUUCUAAGUAAUGUUCUGGGUAGUAUGUGUUCUUGUUGUAGAUUCAUCUUUUCCCAGUGUUACAGAUGCCAGGUCAGCUCCUGUCUUCUUGAACAGUAGGCUGGGGCAGAGCUGCUGCUGAUCCUACCAGAGCCACCACUGCUGUGGUUUCUAUAGCUCCUUUACUGUGCGGUGCUGCUGCCUUCACAGCCUAUAUGGCCAUUGUCCCUGGUCUCGCCAAAGUGAGAAAGGGAUCUCUUUCCACCAGGGUUUCUAGCUCUCAGUUGUGGUCAUCAUGUGGGGCCUAACUCUGUCCAACUUUACAGCUUAGUUUCUGAGAAAAAUUGGGAUGCCUGAAUUUCUUGGGAUUCAGAUGAAGGAUACUUGAGAACCAGCAACUGGCAUCAACAGUGUUAUGCUCCUCUGCGGAGAUGCCAAAACCUGAACACCUCAGUUCCAACAACUUUCACUCAGGAGAGGUUAACAGAGAGAUUGAGAGAAGUUAAACAACAUGUUCAAGAUCACACUGUUGAGGAAAUGAAAAGGGAGAGACUGAAGAUACUGGAGGAAAAAAUAAUGGAGCAGUUUCCGGGAGAAGGAAAGAGGUGAUAUGCCCAAGGACACACAUGGAAGAGAAAGAGAGUGUUAUUACUUCCUAUCCACAGGAGAGAAGGAAAGAGGAAGCACAGAAAAGGGAGGGUUUUUGAAGCAGGGUUGAAGGAGGUUUGAUGAUUCUGUAGAUGUAGCUAUUCCAGUGAGUUUAGUAACAAGAGCAUGGCCUUUGGAGUCAAAUGGAGUUGAGUGGGUGCCUAGUGUAAGCUCUUUUACCUCUCUGGUCUCAGUUUUCCUCAGUCAGGAUAAUAAUAUGCAUUUUCCACAAUUUUGGUGAGGAUUUAAUGAAAUAAUAUAUGUGAAAGAAUCUAAUAUACUGUCUGUCCUAUAGUAAGCACUUAAUAAAUGCCAGUUUUUACCCCUCUCCAGUGGAUGCCCCGGGGCCCUCACCCUGCCAGCUUUCACCUCCCUGCCUCUUAAAAUGAGAUCAUCAAAAAGGAGGUACUGUAAUACUAUGACAGCCUUCAUAUUUUCAUAUUUAUAAAUAAAGGCUAUACUAAUCCAACAUAUUAGCUAAGAAAUAAGAAAAUAGAAAUUUUUUGGUGAAUACUUUUAGACAAACUGAUGUAUGAGAUGCAACCCUCCAAAAAUCUAUCAUCAGUAUUUCCCAUAAUGCUUUUUAAGAACCUUAUCAGUGGCUCAUAGGGAACAGCAGGAUAUGGGGCAGAUAAGGAAGGGACUUGUUUGAGGCCCUCCUUUCUGCAGAGUGGAAGAGAUUUGGGGGGUUUGGGUGCUUUCAGUAAGUUAUUCACUCCCUGAUAAAAACCCAGACUAUCUACAACAUGUCUCUUACUGUUGCACUAUUGAAAAAAGAGGUGAAGUCAUCAAGGAGGUUCCAAGAACCAGAUGCUUUUUUACUUAUAGCUCUAGAGAAGAGUUGGUCCCCUAAAACUCUGUUCAGUUCUGUAGACUGUGUACAGUUCUGUAUAGCUGCCAAUUGUAAAAGAAAUGGCUGGGGCUAUAGAAAUAGAACUAAUGAAUACUCUAUACCCUAUGAUCAAACUCUGAGCACUUACAGAGAGAGUGAUAUGGUUUGGCUGUGUCCUCACCCAAAUCUCAUCUUGAUUGUAGUUCCCAUAAUCUCCAUGUG
rnacentral:lncRNA from 1 species